AUGUUGGGUUAAGUCCCGCAACGAGCGCAACCCCUAUUGUUAGUUGCCAUCAUUCAGUUGGGCACUCUAGCGAGACUGCCGGUAAUAAACCGGGAGGAAGGUGGGGAUGACGUCAAAUCAUCCAUGCCCCUUAUGACCUGGGCUACACACGUGCUACAAUGGUUGGUACAACGAGUUGCGAGUCGGUGACGGCGAGCUAAUCUCUUAAAGCCAAUCUCAGUUCGGAUUGUAGGCUGCAACUCGCCUACAUGAAGUCGGAAUCGCUAGUAAUCGCGGAUCAGCACGCCGCGGUGAAUACGUUCCCGGGCCUU
rnacentral:rRNA from 1 species